CGGCAGUGAGGGAGGAUUUGC
rnacentral:miRNA from 1 species